UGGGGAAUUUUGGACAAUGGGCGAAAGCCUGAUCCAGCAAUGCCGCGUGUGUGAAGAAGGCCUUCGGGUUGUAAAGCACUUUUGUCCGGAAAGAAAUCCUUGGCUCUAAUACAGUCGGGGGAUGACGGUACCGGAAGAAUAAGCACCGGCUAACUACGUGCCAGCAGCCGCGGUAAUACGUAGGGUGCAAGCGUUAAUCGGAAUUACUGGGCGUAAAGCGUGCGCAGGCGGUUUGCUAAGACCGAUGUGAAAUCCCCGGGCUCAACCUGGGAACUGCAUUGGUGACUGGCAGGCUAGAGUAUGGCAGAGGGGGGUAGAAUUCCACGUGUAGCAGUGAAAUGCGUAGAGAUGUGGAGGAAUACCGAUGGCGAAGGCAGCCCCCUGGGCAAUACUGACGCUCAUGCACGAAAGCGUGGGGAGCAAACAGGAUUAGAUACCCUGGUAGUCCACGCCCUAAAACGAUGUCAACUAGUUGUUGGGGAACUUCAUUUUCCUUAGUAACGUAGCUAACGCGUGAAGUUGACCGCCUGGGGAGUACGGUCGCAAAAAUUUUAAAACUC
rnacentral:rRNA from 1 species